UCGAUCUACAGCAAGGCAUCAGGAAUCACUC
rnacentral:piRNA from 1 species